rnacentral:rRNA from 1 species
GAUGAACGCUGGCGGCGUGCCUAAUACAUGCAAGUCGAGCGAACGGACGAGAAGCUUGCUUCUCUGAUGUUAGCGGCGGACGGGUGAGUAACACGUGGAUAACCUACCUAUAAGACUGGGAUAACUUCGGGAAACCGUAGCUAAUACCAGAUAAUAUUUUGAACCGCAUGGUUCAAAAGUGAAAGACGGUCUUGCUGUCACUUAUAGAUGGAUCCGCGCUGCAUUAGCUAGUUGGUAAGGUAACGGCUUACCAAGGCAACGAUGCAUAGCCGACCUGAGAGGGUGGUCGGCCACACUGGAACCGAGACACGGUCCAGACUCCUACGGGAGGCAGCAGUAGGGAAUCUUCCGCAAUGGGCGAAAGCCUGACGGAGCAACGCCGCGUGAGUGAUGAAGGUCUUCGGAUCGUAAAACUCUGUUAUUAGGGAAGAACAUAUGUGUAAGUAACUGUGCACAUCUUGACGGUACCUAAUCAGAAAGCCACGGCUAACUACGUG